GGCCAUCUGGUGUCCCAUAUUUUGUUCGAACCUCUAGUCACCUCCAGCUCAAACCCCUCAGAGACCACUGUCUGGGUUACACACCUCCAUCUAUCUGUCUGUCAUUCUCUCUCUCUCUUUCUCUUUCUCUCUCCCUGUCAGUCUAAUCACUGAUGUUACCUGUCCAGGUCCUGACACUGUCUGGUCUGGUUCUAAAUUUGUUUUUCUAGGUGGCGCUCAGCUCCAUUCUCUCCUCUUCCGUUUGCUGUAUGAGAAAAUAAACCCAGCUAGAUUUAAAACAGCUUUCAUUUCAACUAUUAGCGCUAACUAAAACAACUACAGAGGCCGUGUUCCUGAUUCAUCGACCAACCAGUGGCCGUGUUCCUGAUUCAUCGACCAACCAGAGGCCGUGUUCCUGAUUCAUCGACCAACCAGAGGCCGUGUUCCUGAUUCAUCGACCAACCAGAGGCCGUGUUCCUGAUUCAUCGACCAAC